AACAAGAUUGCAAAGGAAGAAAGAGGUACCCACAGGAGGCAUGCUUUUUUGGGCGGUUUUGUAGAGGGCAACUGAGCCUCUCAACGAAACAAGAUAGCAAAGGUGAGCUGUAGCACAGCAGUUCGCCGGACCAGUGCAAUGGCGAACCCGUGGAUGACGAGCUCGGCCACACAGGCAGCAGCACGACGGGGACAGCAAAAUGGAAAAGGAAGGGUGGAUUGGCUUGAUACGUCUGCCGUGGAAAUUUGUGCUUUCCCUGGUGAAUUUAGUACUCCCCUGGUUGAAAAUUUGCAGGAGUAAAAUGAUUGGGGUGAAGGCGGCCUCUGUGUUGAAUAAUCAAGCCUGCUGCCAGUCAAGCACGAAUUUAGAAUGCAUUCUUCUUAUUCAACUUUUAGAUGGUCAAAGUAAGCCCCACAAAAGGAAAAGAUAGCCCAACUAACCGAAUAUAUUAAGAUUAUACUUCCACUUCAUAAACGCAUAUAGAAAUUUAUCCGUUAGUUGCCGAGUUUGUAGUCCAAACUAAGUGAUGCAUGAAUAAAGAAAUCCUCAUUUUUUUGCAGCACUAGAUUAAUCUUGAAAAAAAGUUGGACUCCAAACAAAAUUGUCAAAUUUAAUAAUGUUUAACUUGUCCAAAAGUUAAAUGUACACUUAUUUGUUGAUGGAGAGAGUAAAUGUUAGUUCGGGCAAUAUAUUCACGUUCCAAAAUGUAUGAAAUACCGAAAACAUAACUUAAUGAUAUCUGACAGUAGAAAUAGUGAAGCAAAAAAAAGAAAAGUGUGAAUCGUGCAUGAAACAAAAACAUUUCUCUCACCAUCAUGGCAUGCUCUCACUUUGAACAAAUAUAUUAACAAUCACUGAGACUUUGAACGAAUAUAUUGACAAAUAACAAUCGACUGAGACCUGACUAGCUAAAAUAACUAUCGACGGAGACCAGUCGUAGCUCCUAACAGCAACUUUGACAGAACUCUAGUAUGUGUGAAUGGUUCAAACUUGGGAGGUCGUCGAGGUGGUAUACUGUAUGUAUGUAAGAAAGUCAGCGGCAACGUGCAUUCCCAGUCAACAAAGGUUACUUUCUGGAGCCUCAGUCAACAAAGCUUUAUAUCUCAAGAAAAUAAAACGUAGUUUACCGUGGGGCAUAUAAGGUGCAGGUGCUGAAGCAUUGUACUCACCGGUACCAGUAGGCCAAUUGUACCCGUCGCCACUCCGGAAAGAUGCUACCCAACUGUCACCUCUUGCUUGCCCGUCUUCUUGCCAUCCUCACAUUGCUCCUCUUCGUCAGCGCCACCCUCGGUGGGGCAGCAAGGCUUCCACCUCCUGGCUCUCCACGUCGCUCUUGCUCCGGUCAACAAGACCCAAUCGGCAAAUGCUCACCUUUGCCCCCUCAAACCUGCAAAGGUUGUGGUCGGCGGUAAGCGCUCCAAACCGUUGAACUCUCAGGAUGGCAAGGCUCAUUCCGUGAAGCAUAUGUCAACGACGGUGGAGGUUUUACAAGUAUCAAAUGGGAUGUACCAGUGCUGAUUAACGUAUGAGUAAAUAUAUGUGUGCCACAAUCAUUUCAUUAACUAGAAUGUAAGGACUAUAACUGUAGUUUAAUAAGUCACAAGAAUUUAUCAAUAAACUUGCAUUGUAAAUA